UCUUGGUUAUAAGGUAUUAGAUUUUCUUGAGAAACCAUGUAGAGGCAAACAAAUUGAUGAGUUAAAAAAAUUGUGUUCUGACAACGAAGUGGUAGAGACAUGUUCAUUGGAAUAUUAGAGGGUUUUUUUUAAAUGAUAUUUCUCAAGAUCAACAUCUUCUAUUUUGAGAAAACCUGUAGGUAGCAUUUGAAGUUUGCAAUCAUUAACAAAAUUUAAACAUUGAAUGGAGUUGCUAAUAUUCCAAUGCAAGAGUUUAUGGCGGUGUUUUUGUUAGAACAGUGUUGAGAAAGGCAGUAUGAGUAUUAAUGAAGGAAUGGCAAAUGAGGUGUUUAAAUUUUUUCUUAAUAACUGAAGAAAUUUGUUUAAGUUGAUGGGGAAAAAAUAGAAAUUUUCUUUUUCAAUAAAUCUCUUUAAAAUCUAUUACAAAACAAAAGAUUGAAAAAUUGGGAAAGAAACAGUAAUGAAUUAAUUCGUUGGAAUAUGCAAACUAGAAAGUAAGGUCAAAGGACUAUGCAAUCGAGUAUAACUGAAAUCUUAACCUCAGUUCAGUUUAAUUAUCGAGCCAUUGGAACUAGGUCUUCCAUGGUUUGUUUUGUUGUGGGAGGUUGUUUUAAAUGGGAUUUGUUUGUUCAAGUCAGAACUGUUAUAUAAAAGAAAUACUCUAUUAAUCUGAACUUAAUGGCACCAUCGCUGCCGUCUAUGCUGGAUGCUAUCAAUGCAUUUAUCUUGAAAUGAUCUUGAACAAGGCUGGUUCUUUAUUAUCCAUAUUUGUCAGUAAUCAGAUUUUGUGGUGUGCCACUGCUUAAUCAAAAUACAGGUACAAGGAGGGGUUUCUUAAAUGCCAUGAGGGACAAGGACAGUUCUUUCCAGUUGGUUCCAUUUGUAAAUCUUAUGAGCUUAAGACUUGUAAAUGUGCAGAAGAAGAUUACAACAAGAAGAAAAUAUUGGAACUUGGGGUUGAUAUGUUUUCAAAUUUAGAUCAAGGAUCAAGGAUGCCAUCAUUCAUUUUCAACGUAAAUUCAAAUUGUUUUGAGUGUGUAACUUUUUCUGAUUCGUCUGGAACAAUUCAAUAAAAUACUAAUAAAGAAACUGUCCCAAAAUAACACCUAAUGUUAUGAAUAGUCAGCAGACAAUAUUGCAUGCUCAUCUCUCAUUUUUUGUAAAGCUUAUGAGCAUGAUUACACAUGAUUUAUUAAGAUAUUGGGGGGAUUUAUUGAUGUUAUAUCAUUGAUCAAGUCUAGGAACAAUUACAUAUAUAUUCAGCAUAUGAGUAACAUAUUCUUCUUCUUUUUCUGCUUCUUCUUAUUAUUAUUUUUUUUACUAUAGCUUCAUUUCUUUCCUUCAUUCUAAUUAUGCCGAAAUGUGAUUGAAAUAUUUACCAAUUGUUUAGUGUUUGAAUGCUACCGGGUUGGUUGCUAAAGAACAAAUUUUGAUUGCAAAUUUUUAUUACAGGUUUGAAGGAAUUCGUGGCUUUUAUAGGGGAAUGACACCCAACUUGCUGAAAAAUAUUCCAGCUGCUUCAAUAACAUUUGUUGUGUACGAGAAUGUAUUGAGCUUACUGCAACGACAAGAAAGAUAAUGUCGCAGAAGAGGUAAAGGCCAACAGGUUGGUGAUUCUUUUGUAGCAGUGCCCCCAAAGUCUAAUGCAGUUUAUUUUUUUCCAGUUGUUGAAUAUGGUCAGCCACACUACCAGGCCAAUCUGCAGGUCUUAUCCUGUGUUUCUAACAGAUUGUGAUUAAGGUAAUCUAUUCCUGUAAAUAUUUGACAUUGAUGGCUGUGAACAUUGAAAAUGUGGGUGAAGUUUAUUGCAUCGAUGGAGUACAUGAUUAUUUGUUUUAUUGAUAUGGAAAGGCAUUUUGUGAUUA